GACGAACGCUGGCGGCGUGCUUAACACAUGCAAGUCGAACGGUGAAGGGGUCUGCUUUUGUGGGCCCUGGAUGAGUGGCGAACGGGUGAGUAACACGUGAGUAACCUGCCCCCUUCUUCUGGAUAACCGCAUGAAAGUGUGGCUAAUACGGGAUAUUCUGGGUCUGUCGCAUGAUGGGUCUGGGAAAGAUUGCGCCUUUGGGUGUUUUUGGUGGGGGAUGGGCUCGCGGCCUAUCAGCUUGUUGGUGGGGUGAUGGCCUACCAAGGCGGUGACGGGUAGCCGGCCUGAGAGGGUGGACGGUCACACUGGGACUGAGACACGGCCCAGACUCCUACGGGAGGCAGCAGUGGCGAAUAUUGCACAAUGGGCGCAAGCCUGAUGCAGCGACGCCGCGUGAGGGAUGGAGGCCUUCGGGUUGUAAACCUCUUUCGCCAGUGAAGCAGGCCUGCUCCUUGUGGGUGGGUUGACGGUAGCUGGAUAAGAAGCGCCGGCUAACUACGUG
rnacentral:rRNA from 1 species